UGGGGAAUAUUGGACAAUGGGCGCAAGCCUGAUCCAGCCAUGCCGCGUGAGUGAUGAAGGCCUUAGGGUUGUAAAGCUCUUUUGUCCGGGAAGAUAAUGACUGUACCGGAAGAAUAAGCCCCGGCUAACUUCGUGCCAGCAGCCGCGGUAAUACGAAGGGGGCUAGCGUUGCUCGGAAUCACUGGGCGUAAAGGGCGCGUAGGCGGACUCUUAAGUCGGGGGUGAAAGCCCAGGGCUCAACCCUGGAAUUGCCUUCGAUACUGAGAGUCUUCAGUUCGGACGAGGUUGGUGAAACUGCGAGUGUAGAGGUGAAAUUCGUAGAUAUUCGCAAGAACACCGGUGGCGAAGGCGGCCAACUGGUCCGAUACUGACGCUGAGGCGCGAAAGCGUGGGGAGCAAACAGG
rnacentral:rRNA from 1 species